CUGAACACUUACUAAACCCUAGCUACUUCCUCGGCACUCUUGGAGACAAGAAGAGAAUCAAGCUUGUUUUGCCUUCUGUGGCACUCACAGAAUAAUAGGAGAGCCAAGUGACAAGGCAAUCUGAGAAGCAUGGAGUGGAGAGAGGCGUGUCAUGGGCUGUGGGAACGUAAAGGAGGAUGAAGGUUUCUGUUCGUCUUACAGGGAGGCUGAAUGAUCGAGCAGGUCUUCAUGGAGGAAGCAUGCUUUGAGUCUUGAAGGGAGAGUCAGAGCUGCCAGCUAGGAUCAUUGGAAGCCAUGUGUUGGAAAUUGUGGAGCCUCAAGAUGGAAUCCUUGGGGGACUGUGUGGGGGAGAGCCACCCAGGAAGAUGCCCCACCCACACUGACCCUUUUGCCGGUCACUGCUUACCUCUACUGGGAUGCGGAAGUCAACACAGGUCUCUGAAUGCAGGUCCUGUUCUCGCGGCACUCACAGAACGUGAUCUUGACUGAUGGAACUUUACAGUGGAACGUCCAGAGAUGGGGGCCGAGGCAUCCCUUCUGGUGGUGAAACAUUGCUCAAUGGACAAAGGCAAGCGGUCGGUUCUCCCCAGAACUUCCAUCCUUUGUCACACUGAACAAUUACUCUUCACCACAUGUGGUUAAGAAAAGCAAGCUCCAGUGAGAGUUAAGCGUGAAGUCCCCCUCCACCAUUUCCACAAAUGAGAAGCAGAUGUCCAUAUUCUCUGGGCAAUGUUCAGGCCUUAAAACACUGCCAUACACUGGGCCCACUAAUUGAUGCUGACAGUAGUAAUAAGAGUAGUAAUAAUCAUAGCAAACGUUUACUGCGUGUUUACCACGUGCCAGCCACUUUCUGUAAUCCUCAGUUCCCUCUGGAGAAAGGUGGUGAAUGAUUUUUGUUUUAGGCCACCCAGAUUCCUUCUCCCUUGCCAUUGAUACUAGAUUCCCAUUCCCCCCCAAGGAUAUCUCAGAUGCUUUUGGGGAGAGAGAUCCCAUUCAGACCUCCUGAUAAGCCCUGUAGACUGAGCCCAGUCAGCAAAGCCCAGAUGCAGUGACUAGUUAGGGUUGACCAUGUGACCUACUUUGGGCCAAUCAGAUCACAGGAGAAGUUUCCAUGGGUUUUCUGGAUCUUCUGUGA
ensembl:lncRNA